rnacentral:rRNA from 1 species
CACGCCCUAAACGAUGUCAACUAGGUGUUGGGAGGGUAAAACCUUUUAGUACCGUAGCUAACGCGAGAAGUUGACCGCCUGGGGAGUACGGCCGCAAGGUUAAAACUCAAAGGAAUUGAC